GCAUGGCCGAAUUCUGAUUUACUCUUUCUGUAGUAAAUGCAGUCAGACACCAUGCUAUAUUACUCUCUCUUUCUCUCUCCUUUUAUCACAGUGGUACAAUACGGUGUGUGUAUUCACUGAUAUGGAGGAAAAGCGAACAAUC